ACCCGGGUGUAGAUUUUCCAGGGUAAGCCUGGAAGAGAGGCUGGUAAACCCUGGAAAACUAUGGAAAAGCAUGGAAUUUCAUGGAAAUUCAUGGAAAAUUGGUAUUUUUUCCAUGCUAUGUGGACUUUUUUUGUCCAGCCAUUUCCAGCAUUGCUGGAAUAGGCUGGAAAUUGGCUGGACAUUUGUGGUAAAAGCCUGGAAAACCAUGGACUUUACUUCCAUGUAGCAUGGAAAGUGGAACUUAGAUUUUUUUGAUGCUGGAAAUGUGUUAAACUUUCUCUAAGUAUGCUGGAAAAAACUUGUAAAAAUUACAACAAGAAAUCUUACUUUAUAUAUUCAGCUCAAUAUUGUAAAUUUACGAAGAAAAUAUACAAUCAUCAUUUAUUUUAAUGCAAGUUACUGUAAAUAAUUUGAAAUUUGACACUUUAUACUUUUUAUGUAGUUGAAAAAAGGUAUCUCAGAAAAAAUGUCUAUGCUAAAGACAUAAAUGAAUUGAUUGUUCAAAAUACAUAUUAUUAUUUAAAUAAAUCUACAUGAAGUUAUGUACAAUGAAAUAAUAUCACUAUAAUAAUCAAGAUGGGAUUGCAUUGCUUGCCAUUUUUAAAUUGUAAGAAUUCAUGUUUUUGGAUAACAAUAAAUAAAUAAAUAAACAAAACAAAACACAGUGCAUGAAAGAAUCUCAUAUAUAUUCUAUAUUAAAUUGACCAAUAUUUAGGAAAAUAAAUCCUACAUCCACUGAGAUUUUACGCUACACAGAUCAGAGCUCUGAUAAAACUCAUUGACCAGCAUUUUCUAACCAUCUGUGCAUGACUAAUUUACUCCACUGGUCAUUUCAGAUCAGGCUGUUCCAUGUGAUUAUUUUGGGGAGAGAUAACAUUAUAAAUUUCAUAUGCAGAAUGUGUCUAGAAGGACAAUCUUUUUCGUACAAAAAUUUGUAAUGAUCUUUAAAAUCUAUAUAUCUAUUAGCUAUUUGAUAUUUUCUUUUACGCUCAAAGAAUAGAAGUUAAAAUGAUGAGUAGAUUAACCCUGCUUUACAUAAUGAUAGACCUGUCCAGUAACUGUUGUAAAUUUUGAAUUCUAAGAUAUCUGGGUCAGCAAAGAGUGCAAAUUACAGAGGAUGUACUUGAUAUUUUAGCAGUUUUGGAGAUAUUGUUUUGUUUAAGACUUUAAAGUGUUUAAGUAUUGGUAUGAUAACAAUUAGAAUCACCUGGGACAAAGAGAUAUACAACAGAAUCAGGCUGGGACAUAAGUGCUGACUGUGAGAAUUACCAACAGUGUUAAAUAAUGAUGUGCAGUAUUAAUCCUGAAAAGGUGAGCACAACCACAAGAAGUUCUAGGAAACACAGGCAGAGGACUGAAAAUGGACAUCAAUAAAAGAAAUAGUAAUUUAAAUAAUCAGAAACACUUGAAACAAAUUCAAGAUUAAAAAAGGUUUCUCAUUGACAGAUUAAGAGCAAAAUAAUUGCUAAAAUUUUUAAGACAACCAGAACUUACCAAA